GCAAAAACAUAGACAAAAGCAUAGUAUUCUAUACACAUGCUACAACAAACUUACUCAAAGAGAUCGUUGUUGCAGGCACAUGAACAUAAAGAUACAUAUACAUCUUCUUUCCUCCAGAGUUCUGUAUUAGAUUUAAACAAUAAUAGAAGGUGAUCUGCAAUUUAGAGAAGAAAAAAAAUGAAUAAGAAAGUGAUUUAAACAAAAAAUUCAAAAAAAAAAAAUUAAAUUGAAAAGUGAUAAAGAUGGAGCAAUUCAGCUAAUAAAGAAAAUGGAAGAGAGAUGAGAUUAAUUCAGUAACCUGAGUUUAUUGACAUCCAAAUACCCAAUUUCAUCGACAAUUUCAAAGAACAAAAUUUGAGGAAUUGAAAUUUGGGGGUUGGGGUUGAUGAUUUUCGGCCCAUCUGAGAGGAGGAAGAAGUUUUGCGUGAAAGAGGUUUUUGGGUGAGUUGAAUUGGGUUUGAUUUGGGGUUUUCCGGUGGCGGUGGCGGUGGCCGGGUGGCUGCCGGAAUCAGAGAGAAAAGAGAGAAGAGAGUGAGAGAGCGCAUGAGAGAGAAGAGAGAAGAGAGAAGAGAGAGAAAGAAUUUG
rnacentral:lncRNA from 1 species